CGACGAUGCGUAGGGGCUCUGAGAGGAAGGUCCCCCACACUGGUACUGAGACACGGACCAGACUCCUACGGGAGGCAGCAGUGAGGAAUAUUGGUCAAUGGGCGGGAGCCUGAACCAGCCAAGUCGCGUGAGGGAUGACGGCCCUAUGGGUUGUAAACCUCUUUUGCCGGGGAGCAAAGUGCCGCACGUGUGCGGUUUGGAGAGUACCCGGAGAAAAAGCAUCGGCUAACUCCGUGCCAGCAGCCGCGGUAAUACGGAGGAUGCGAGCGUUAUCCGGAUUUAUUGGGUUUAAAGGGUGCGUAGGCGGACGCUUAAGUCAGCGGUAAAAUUGCGGGGCUCAACCUCGUCGAGCCGUUGAAACUGGGUGCCUUGAGUGGGCGAGAAGUACGCGGAAUGCGUGGUGUAGCGGUGAAAUGCAUAGAUAUCACGCAGAACUCCGAUUGCGAAGGCAGCGUACCGGCGCCCAACUGACGCUGAAGCACGAAGGCGUGGGUAUCGAACAGGAUUAGAUACCCUGGUAGUCCACGCAGUAAACGAUGAAUGCUAGUUGUCCGGGGCGAUUGAGUUCUGG
rnacentral:rRNA from 1 species